GGAUAACAGAUGAAGAUGACUUGUACAGGGGAUGACCUAAUUUGCACCUCCCUAGUUACCAGUCCCUCGUGAUGACUCAGAGGAGGGAGUGACUCAGGGAACAGGUACUGGAGAAUGACAGAUGAAGAUGACUUGUACUGAGGAUGACCUAAUUUGAACCUCCUAUGAAUGGUCCUGGCUCCCUAGUUAUCAGUCACCUAGUCACCAGUCCCUCGUGAUGACUCAGAGGUGACUCAGAUAACAGGUGUGGGAGGAUGACAGAUGAAGAUGACUCAUACAAUUGAUGACCUAAUUUGAACCUCCUACGAAUGGUCCUGGCUCCCUAGUUACCAGUCACCAAGUCACCAGUCCCUCGUGAUGACUCAGAGGAGGGAGUGACUCAGGGAACAGGUACAGGAGAAUGACAGAUGAAGAUGACUCGUACAAUUGAUGACCUAAUUUGAACCUCCUACAAAUGGUCCUGGCUCCCUAGUUAUCAGUCACCUAGUCACCAGUCCCUCGUGAUGACUCAGAGGUGACUCAGAUAACAGGGAACAGGUACAGGAAAAUGACAGAUGAAGAUGACUCGUACAAUUGAUGACCUAAUUUGAACCUCCUACAAAUGGGCCUGGCUCCCUAGUUACCAGUCACCUCGUCACCAGUCCCUCGUGAUGACUCAAGGAGGGAGUGACUCAGAUAAGAAAAAAAACAGGGAAAAAACAGGUGCAGGAGAAUGACAAAUGGAGAUGCCUCGUACAAUUGAUGACCUAAUUUGCACCUCCUACGAAUGGGCCUGGCUCCCUAGUUACCAGUCACCUCGUCACCAGUCCCUCGUGAUGA